GACGAACGCUGGCGGCGUGCUUAACACAUGCAAGUCGAACGGAAAGGCCCUGCUUUUGUGGGGUGCCCGAGUGGCGAACGGGUGAGUAACACGUGAGUAACCUGCCCUUGACUUUGGGAUAACUUCAGGAAACUGGGGCUAAUACCGGAUAGGAGCUGCUGCAGCAGGGGGGGGGUUGGAAAGUUUCGGCGGUUGGGGAUGGACUCGCGGCUUAUCAGCUUGUUGGGGGGGUAGUGGCUUACCAAGGCUUUGGCGGGUAGCCGGCCUGGGAGGGUAACCGGCCACAUUGGGACUGAGAUACGGCCCAGACUCCUACGGGAGGCAGCAGUGGGGAAUAUUGCACAAUGGGCGGAAGCCUGAUGCAGCAACGCCGCGUGCGGGAUGACGGCCUUCGGGUUGUAAACCGCUUUCGCCUGUGACGAAGCGUGAGUGACGGUAAUGGGUAAAGAAGCACCGGCUAACUACGUG
rnacentral:rRNA from 1 species